rnacentral:lncRNA from 1 species
UUCUAAAGAAGAGCUUUAAUUUCAUCUGUCCCAGCUCUCCAUAUGUGGAAGAGUUAUUUCCAAGAGGUGUGCAGAGCACUGCGUUGAUGACACCGGGCUUCAAAAUUCCACUCCCACCUGUCAAAACCGAACUUUCCAAAGGUUGGUUCAUCCACCGUGCAACCCCAGGUGGAAAUUUCAGAGAAUGCCUGGCAGGUAGUUAAUCUAAACUGGCAUGUUCCCCAAGUCUUCAGCAUUUAGUGAUUCCAAACUCUGGCACUCUGGCACACACACGAAACAUCCAGCUACAGUAGCAUUUCGAGGGAAGCCUGACACAGUGCUUGGAUCUUUCUGUCUGUCCCCACUUCAAAACAAAUAAAAGCAAAACAACAACAGUAACAACAACAAAGCAA